rnacentral:lncRNA from 1 species
AUAAUUGAAAUUUUAAUGAAUCUUAAUCAAAUCCUAAAUCAAAUUCUAAUCAAAUUUUAAAUCUUAAAUCAAUCUAAAUAAAAUAUUGAUGAAAUCCUAAUCAAACUUUAGAUAAAUCCUAAUUGAAUCUUAAUCAAAUAUUAAUCAAAUCUUAAUCAAAUGAAAACAAAAUUCUAAAUCUUAAUCAAAUCCUAAAUAAAUCCUAAUCAAAUCGUAGAUCCUAAACUAAUCUUAAUCAAUUUAUAAUCAAAUCUUAAAUAUUAAAUGAAAUUCUUAAUAAUUCUACAAUGGAUUAAAAAUUUAAUAAUUAAUGAUUAAAUCAUUUAUUUUGAUUCAAACUUUGUAUACCUUAAAACAUAUAAGUAUAAAAUAAGCACAAAAAAUUUAAAAAAAAAUUCUUAUACCAAUUAAAUAAUCCUAAACUUCCACUUAAGAAUCAGUCGAAUUCCUUCUUCAACCUUAAUGUUGAUAUUUCAAAGCCAUAAUGUCUUAAUUUUAUUAUUUAAUUCAUUUCAAAUUUUUCUAAAUUAUUCAAAAUCAAGGUAGCUACCUUUGAAAAAAAUUGUAUUUCAAUUCAAUUGGCGGAUUAACAAAUAUCUUAGAAAUCCUCACCAAUCCUUUAAAUUCCAAUU